rnacentral:rRNA from 1 species
AUUGAACGCUGGCGGCAUGCCUUACACAUGCAAGUCGAACGGCAGCACGGGUGCUUGCACCUGGUGGCGAGUGGCGAACGGGUGAGUAAUACAUCGGAACGUACCUUAUCGUGGGGGAUAACGUAGCGAAAGCUACGCUAAUACCGCAUACGAUCUAAGGAUGAAAGCGGGGGACCGUAAGGCCUCGCGCGAUUGGAGCGGCCGAUGGCAGAUUAGGUAGUUGGUGGGGUAAAGGCUCACCAAGCCGACGAUCUGUAGCUGGUCUGAGAGGACGACCAGCCACACUGGGACUGAGACACGGCCCAGACUCCUACGGGAGGCAGCAGUGGGGAAUUUUGGACAAUGGGCGCAUGCCUGAUCCAGCCAUUCCGCGUGCAGGAUGUAGGCCCUCGGGUUGUAAACUGCUUUUGUACGGAACGAAAAGGCUCUGGUUAAUACCUGGGGCUCAUGACGGUACCGUAAGAAUAAGCACCGGCUAACUACGUGCCAGCAGCCGCCGUAA